UACGUAGGGGGCUAGCGUUGUCCGGAAUCAUUGGGCGUAAAGCGCGUGUAGGCGGUUCGGUAAGUCCGCUGUGAAAGUCGGGGGCUCAACCCUCGGAUGCCGGUGGAUACUGUCGGACUAGAGUACGGAAGAGGCGAGUGGAAUUCCUGGUGUAGCGGUGAAAUGCGCAGAUAUCAGGAGGAACACCGAUUGCGAAGGCGGUUCUCUGGGACGGUACUGACGCUGAGACGCGAAAGCGUGGGGAGCGAACAGG
rnacentral:rRNA from 1 species